ensembl:lncRNA
AGGGCGUGGCGGUGUCGCCACGUGGGCUGAAGCUGCUGCCCUGCGCGGGGCCGGUCCGUCGGUCCGUGCUCUCGUUCUGAUGGCGGUUUGUCGUUCCGAGCUCAUCUGUGGGUGUUUAACCCGCUGGCUGUGCAGGAGUGAUUUUUCUCAGGACUCGCACCGUGGCGUGGAGCGCCAGCAGCAGAGGGGCUCUGGCGGUCUCUGUCCGUGCCCGGUCGGCUGCUCCUCUCCCUUCUCUGCUCAUCUUAGGGUUUCUUUAACGGCUCUGUUUGUGGUCACAUCCCUGUGCUGCUCUUCUCAGCGCGGGUGUGCGCUUUCCUUUGAUUUGAGCUUGUUUUCUGGUCUCCAUCAGCUCUGCAGGCACCUCGUGUCGGUGCGCGCUGUGUCUGCUGGGACGUCGAUCCGCAGGGAGGGGAGCACAAAAAAUCCGCGUCCCGUUAAGCGGGGCAGAGCAGCAGCAGCAGCUGAAGGCUCUGAAGUUCACAGGCUGCUGUCUGCACGUGGAGGUGUUGCGUUGUUUCACCACGUGGCCUCGGUUCUGCAGUCUACAGGAAGAAGAGGUUUCAGAGCAUUCAGCAUCUCCCCUGUGAGCCCCUUGUAUGUGGUACCUGAGCAGCAACGUGCCCACGUGUGCCUGGAGCUGCCCUGUACCUGCAGCGUGCUGCCUGCACUGCUGUCACUUGGUUUCCCAUUUAGAGCUGCAAGACGUGGUGCAGAGCAGCAGAAGUGUGUGGUUACCUUCAAGAUUGCAUUCAGAGGACCGAGGGGAUCUGUCCUGUGCUGGCACAUCACACCCUGCCCUGUCCUGACUUCCUUACUGGCAGUGAGAUGCCAACAGCCAUGCUGGGUGCUCUGUGUCAGUGUGUUUUAUUAUUUUAGGACCAUCAUUUCUCUGGUGUGUCUUGCUAGGCUAUGUGUUUCUGUAUCGUCUGACUUGUAA